GUUAAUAAUUAACUUGUACCGAAGACAGUAGGUGGCAUUGCCUUAAUUUCCUACCGAGGACGUUUAUUGAAUAUAUUCAAUAGUCCCUCUAUGUCUGCGGUGGCAUAGAGUUUUUUGUCGUGGAUC
rfam:Enterococcus ratti strain DSM 15687 Scaffold13, whole genome shotgun sequence.